rnacentral:rRNA from 1 species
UACGUAGGGUGCGAGCGUUGUUCGGAAUUACUGGGCGUAAAGCGCGCGUAGGCGGCUUUGUAAGUUAGAGGUGAAAGCCCGGGGCUCAACCCCGGAACUGCCUUUAAGACUGCAUCGCUAGAAUUGUGGAGAGGUAAGUGGAAUUCCGAGUGUAGAGGUGAAAUUCGUAGAUAUUCGGAAGAACACCAGUGGCGAAGGCGACUUACUGGACACAUAUUGACGCUGAGGUGCGAAAGCGUGGGGAGCAAACAGG